CCUACGGGAGGCAGCAGUGGGGAAUAUUGCACAAUGGGGGAAACCCUGAUGCAGCGACGCCGCGUGAAGGAAGAAGUAUUUCGGUAUGUAAACUUCUAUCAGCCGGGAAGAAAAUGACGGUACCUGACGAAGAAGCCCCGGCUAACUACGUGCCAGCAGCCGCGGUAAUACGUAGGGGGCACGCGUUAGCAGGAUGUACUGGGUGUAAAGGGGGCGUUGGGGGGGAUGCAAGUCAGAAGUGAAAGCCCGGGGCCCAACCCCGGGACUGCUUUUGAAACUGGAUGGCUAGAUUGGAGGAGAGGCAAGUGGAAUUCCUGGGGUAGCGGUGAAAUGCGUAGAUAUUAGGAGGAACACCAGUGGCGAAGGCGGCUUGCUGGACUGUAAAUGACGCUGAGGCUCGAAAGCGUGGGGAGCAAACAGGAUUAGAUACCCGUGUAGUC
rnacentral:rRNA from 1 species